GAGUUUGAUCAUGGCUCAGGAUGAACGCUAGCGGCAGGCUUAACACAUGCAAGUCGAGGGGUAUAUUUCUUCGGAGAUAGAGACCGGCGCACGGGUGCGUAACGCGUAUGCAAUCUACCUUUUACAGGGGAAUAGCCCAGAGAAAUUUGGAUUAAUGCCCCAUAGUAUAGUGAAUCGGCAUCGGUUUAUUAUUAAAGUCACAACGGUAAAAGAUGAGCAUGCGUCCCAUUAGUUAGUUGGUAAGGUAACGGCUUACCAAGACUAUGAUGGGUAGGGGUCCUGAGAGGGAGAUCCCCCACACUGGUACUGAGACACGGACCAAACUCCUACGGGAGGCAGCAGUGAGGAAUAUUGGACAA
rnacentral:rRNA from 1 species